rnacentral:ncRNA from 2 species
GACGUGCUCCGAGAUCGGUGGAAUUCCGAGCCGGCGGUGACAGCCCGCUAACCGGUAACCGUCGUCGUCGCCGAGAACGCACGGCGCCCUCAAGGGGGCCCGGGCCCUCGACGACGACACGGCCCCGGCCUGACUGGUGAGAUUCCAGUGCCGACAGAACAGUCUGGAAGGGAGGAGCACGGU